UACGGAGGGUGCAAGCGUUAUCCGGAUUCACUGGGUUUAAAGGGUGCGUAGGCGGGUAAGUAAGUCCGUGGUGAAAUCUCUGAGCUUAACUCAGAAACUGCCGUGGAUACUAUUUGCCUUGAAUAUUGUGGAGGUGAGCGGAAUAUGUCAUGUAGCGGUGAAAUGCUUAGAUAUGACAUAGAACACCAAUUGCGAAGGCAGCUCACUACACAAUCAUUGACGCUGAGGUACGAAAGCGUGGGGAUCAAACAGG
rnacentral:rRNA from 1 species